CGUACAGGUUUCCGUAGGUGAACCUGCGGAAGGAUCAUUACACUCAGUAGUUUACUACUGUAAAGGGGGCUGUUAGUCUGUAUAGCGCAAGCUGAUGAGCAGCUGGCCUCUUUUAUCACCCUUGUCUUUUGCGUACCCACGUUUCCUCGGCAGGCUUGCCUGCCGAUUGGACAAACCUAUAACCCUUUUAAAUUUCAAUCAGCGUCUGAAAAACUUAAUAAUUACAACUUUCAACAACGGAUCUCUUGGUUCUGGCAUCGAUGAAGAACGCAGCGAAAUGCGAUAAGUAGUGUGAAUUGCAGAAUUCAGUGAAUCAUCGAAUCUUUGAACGCACAUUGCGCCCCUUGGUAUUCCAUGGGGCAUGCCUGUUCGAGCGUCAUUUGUACCCUCAAGCUCUGCUUGGUGUUGGGUGUUUGUCCUCUCCCUAGUGUUUGGACUCGCCUUAAAAUAAUUGGCAGCCAGUGUUUUGGUAUAGAAGCGCAGCACAAGUCGCGAUUCUUAUUAAACACUUGCGUCCACAAGCCUUUUUAACUUUUGACCUCGGAUCAGGUAGGGAUACCCGCUGAACUUAAGCAUAUCA
rnacentral:rRNA from 1 species